rnacentral:rRNA from 1 species
ACGGGACUCAUCCGAGGCCCCGUAAUCGGAAUGAGUACAUUCUAAAGUCCUUAACAAGGAUCAAUUGGAGGGUAAGUCUGGUGCCAGCAGCCGCGGUAAAACCAGCUCCAAUAGCGUAUAUUAAAGUUGUUGCGGUUAAAAAGCUCGUAGUCGAAUUUGUGUCCCGCGCCGCUGGUUCAUCGCUCGCGGUGUUCAACUGGCGUGUCUCGCGGGACGUCCUGCCGGUGAGCUAUGUCAUCGUUUCGGCGGUGCGUAACUCUAUUCGUCUCCGUCUUGUACGGUUUCGAAUCCCAUCGCGGUGCUCUUUAUUGAGUGUCUUGGUGGGUCGGCACAUUUACUUUGAACAAAUUAGAGUGCUUAAAGCAGGCCAAUUUUGCCUGAAUAUUCUGUGCAUGGAAUAAUGGAAUAGGACCUCGGUUCUAUUUUGUUGGUUUUCGGAACCCCGAGGUAAUGAUUAAUAGGAACGGAUGGGGGCAUUCGUAUUGCGACGUUAGAGGUGAAAUUCUUGGAUCGUCGCAAGACGAACAUAAGCGAAAGCAUUUGCCAAAAACGCUUUCAUUGAUCAAGAACGAAAGUUAGAGGCUCGAAGGCGAUCAGAUACCGCCCUAGUUCUAACCAUAAACGAUGCCAGCUAGCGAUCCGCCGACGUUCCUCCGAUGACUCGGCGGGCAGCUUCCGGGAAACCAAAGCUUUUGGGUUCCGGGGGAAGUAUGGUUGCAAAGCUGAAACUUAAAGGAAUUGACGGAAGGGCACCACAAGGAGUGGAGCCUGCGGCUUAAUUUGACUCAACACAGUACAUCUAACCAGGUCAGGACACCGGAAGGAUUGACAGAUUGAGAGCUCUUUCUUGAU